rnacentral:rRNA from 1 species
UCCUACGGGGGGCAGCAGUAGGGAAUCUUCCACAAUGGGCGCAAGCCUGAACGAGCAAUGCCGCGUGAACGAGGAAGGUCUUCGGAUCGUAAAGUUCUGUUGAAGGGGAAAAAGAGCGGAGAGAGGAAAUGAACUCCGAUUGAUAUUACCCUUCGAGGAAGCCACGGCUAACUACGUGCCAGCAGCCGCGGUAAUACGUAGGUGGCGAGCGUUAUCCGGAAUGAUUGGGCGUAAAGGGUGCGUAGGCGGCCUGCUAAGUCUGGAGUGAAAGGUACCGGCUCAACCGGUACAGGCUCUGGAAACUG